rnacentral:lncRNA from 1 species
CCAUAAUAUUUACCUUUUAUUCUUGGAAGAACUGUUAGGCUAGAUAAAUAACAAUUUUGAAGUAAUAUAAUCAAUGAAGUACAACAGAGUAAAUGAUGCAAAGCAACGAUUAUGUGGAAGAGCCACACAGUGAGAAAUGACAAGGUACUUUGUUCUAUGACAAUCAGAUUAUAAUAACUCUGAUGAUUGUAAAGGUUUAUUUUGUUCCUUGCUCAGGUUCACAUUUCAGAAACAUAAACUCACAUAGAAGACUGUUUGUGCAUGAAAGAAAAUUUUGUACAUGAUUAUGCUCACAUCAAAAAAUAAUUAACAUCAAGCACUCCCCUUGUCAGAUAUUGAAGUGCUGCUUAAAAUUAGUACUCAGAAACAGAGAAAAAGCUUCUUUUUUUGAGGCAAUGAAUUUUACAUUAAAUCUAAGAAAACUAAUGAUUAUAAAUAAGCAGAAGUUCAGUUAUUACACAAAGGCUUGAUCUCCACUAUUGAGGACUGAAUUAAUAUUCAGAGCAACAGUUUAAGUCUCUCAAUAGGUGACUAGGCUUAUGCUCAAACUUCUUUUGGUUUUGGUAAAGACUUCUAGUGCUGGCAUGCAACAAGCAUGAUCCAAACAUGGUACAGAUGCAUGGAACGAAACGCAUUCAGUUCAUCAGCUCCUUUGCCCCACAGACAGAAGACCCUUCCCAGUGGUAGGCGCAACCACUUGCUUCUGGGGCAGCAGCCGUAGCACAGGUUUUGGUUGAGGGCAUCAGUGUGUGGCCUGGCCCCACUCCACUCUCCCCUUGCAGACACAGCCUGGCUUCCUGCUGUUUUCACUGAGGAUUUAUCUCCACGCGACAUGGCAGAGCGCUCGCUCUCAGAUAAAUGUCACGUUUGCAGCAGCUGCGGGUGAACCACGGAACCCACCACCGCCGCACUCACGCAGCCCCGCAGUCCCUCUGGCGCCCGUUUCGGCACUCGGAUUUAGCGCGGAAAGAAAGGCGUACGCGCCCGCGGGUGGCACGGCCACCCUCUCCCUCGCUGUGGGCACCGGAACGCU